CUUCCCUGCUAACUUCUGCAAUACACUUCCUCAAACAUACCUCUAUCUACAUCAAAGAAAGGUACACCGAAAUACUUUACAAAAACCAAAACACCUGUUUGAUCUUAAAUCUAACUUACAAAGUAUAGACCAAAGUUACAUGGACCCAUGGCAAGGCACAUGUCCUAUCUUUCUGGUUGUGAAACACACAUUCUUUAGCGUCAUCCUGUGUCACAUAUCACUCAUAAGCUUACAUACUGGCUUCCUUUUUGUAGACACAGUAAGCUCCCUGAGGAUAGUCAUCAACCCUCAUUUUGAUCUCAACAUUGUUACUCAAUACAUAGUUGUUGAAUGAAAGAAGGAAUGAAGCUCCUCAGAGGUGGCACUACGACUACUUCUUUGAUUUCUUGAAUUCUUAGAAGUCUAAACAUUUCCUCCCCCCCCCCCAGCAAAUUUGGUCUGACUUAUAACUGUAACUGGUUUCAACUGAGAGAAGUUCAAAAGUUUUCUUCAGCAUCUAUCACUUUUUGCAACCAGUAAACUACAGGUAAGUAAGAAACAAUUAUUCACUAUCCAUGGGUAUAAAUGUAAGGUACUUCCUGUAUAAAAUCAAUGGCUGGUAUGUGAGACAUAUGCAACUACUUCUCUUCUGAUACAAAUUACAUAGCAAAUGUAUGAAAGAAAAAACAUUUUUUUUUCCCCACUUGCAGAUAAGGUAACAUUCAAACUGCUGGAAACUUUCCUAAAAUGGCAAUUUGCAAAAAUCAGUGUUGCUUUAAGAAUCUUUUAUGUUUGGUGUAUUGCACCAAAGUAAGAGACUCUUGUGGGGUUGGGGGUGUUUAAGUUCCUGGAAUAUGAUGGCAGAGGAGGACCUACCUAGUAGGGGUCUAAUUGUUAUGUGGAAAACUGGGAAAUGUUAUACAUGUACAAACUAUUGUAUUUUACUGUCGACUAUAAACCAAUAAUCCCCCAAUAUAGAAAUUUAAAAAUAAAGAUUUUUUAUAUUUUUAUUAUUCAUUUUUCAUAGGGAAAAGGUGAUUAUGCUUAUACCAGUUUGAGAAAUAACAGUUUAAGGGGAAAAUGUAUACUAACAUGAUGGAGUGGAAAAUACAAAAGAGAACAAAGCAUGAGACCUGAGGUUUUCUAGCUCUGGUUAUACUACAACAUAGUUGUGUGAUUUAAGGAUGCCAUCGCAUCAUUGGUUCAGUAUACCCACUUGCUAAAAAAAAAAAAAAAAAAAAAAAAAAAAAAGGAAUCUCUUGAUUUCUGAUUUUAGAUCACGCCCUCUCAUUUCAUCCUGCUCCCUAAACUGAAAAUAGGUUUUUUGAAGGUUCAACUUUCCUAAACUAUGAAACACUUUCACACUGCAUUUAACUAGCCCUUCUUCAACUGGAUAGUA